rnacentral:rRNA from 1 species
CCUACGGGAGGCUGCAGUGAGGAAUAUUGGUCAAUGGGCGGAAGCCUGAACCAGCCAAGUCGCGUGAGGGAUUAAGGCCCUGCGGGUCGUAAACCUCUUUUGCCGGGGAGCAGUGGUCCGGACGCGUCCGGACCGGGAGAGUACCCGGAGAAAAAGCAUCGGCUAACUCCGUGCCAGCAGCCGCGGUAAUACGGAGGAUGCGAGCGUUAUCCGGAUGUAUUGGGUUUAAAGGGUGCGCAGGCGGAGGUGCAAGUCAGCGGUCAAAUUGCGGGGCUCAACCCCGUACUGCCGUUGAAACUGCAUCCCUUGAGUGCGCGAGAAGUAUGCGGAAUGCGUGGUGUAGCGGUGAAAUGCUUAGAGAUCAUACAGAACACCGAUUGCGAAGGCAGCUUACCAAGCUACUUCUGACGUUGAGGCACGAAAGCGUGGGGAGCAAACAGGAUUAGAUACCCUUGUAGUC